GAGUUUGAUCCUGGCUCAGGAUGAACGCUGGCGGUAUGCCUAACACAUGCAAGUCGUACGAGAGUUUUUAACUCAAGUGGCGGACGGGUGAGUAACACGUGAGAAUUUGCCUUUAGGAGGGGGACAACAGCUGGAAACGGUUGCUAAUACCCCAUAUGCUUCCGAGUGAAAUGAAUUUAUUCGCCUAAAGAGAAGCUCGCGGCUGAUUAGCUUGUUGGUAGGGUAAGAGCCUACCAAGGCGACGAUCAGUAUCUGGUUUGAGAGGACGAUCAGACACACUGGAACUGAGACACGGUCCAGACUCCUACGGGAGGCAGCAGUGGGGAAUUUUCCGCAAUGGGCGAAAGCCUGACGGAGCAAUACCGCGUGAGGGAAGACGGCCUAUGGGUUGUAAACCUCUUUUUUCAGGGAGGAAUAAUUGACGUGUACCUGAAGAAUAAGCAUCGGCUAACUCCGUGCCAGCAGCCGCGGUAAGACGGGGGAUGCAAGUGUUAUCCGGAAUCACUGGGCGUAAAGCGUC
rnacentral:rRNA from 1 species